AGAAAGGCUUUAUAAGCUUAGAGGCUAUUAAAUAAGUAUUAGAAAGUUAUAGGUAGUAGUAUAGUAGUAUCU
rnacentral:tRNA from 1 species